GGUUUGAGGUGGGUUGGGUUGGUUUGUGGUGGGUUGGUUUGAGGUGGGUUGGUUUGUGGUGGGUUGGUUUGAGGUGGUUUGGUUUGAGGUUGGUUGGUUGGUUUGAGGUUGGUUGUUAUUUUGUGUGGUGGUGUUUUGUUGUUAUUAUUGUACUAAUGAAAAGCAUGACUUGGCUCACACCCCAAAAAGUUGGUAGUGGUGCUGACUAACAGCGAGUAAACUGACAGCUGUAAAAAUAAAUAGUGACACAAUCUAUAUACAAGCUUCCAGUAAUGUAUUGGGUAAACCACCAAUGUUGUUGGCAUCACUGUGCCUUAAGACCCUGGUCAUCAUAUCAAAGCAGGAAAGGAAAGUGACCUUUGAGUUAAGGAAUUGGGAGAAAAAAAAUGGCUUCUCGUCUCUGUCUGUUACUCUUUCGUUUUCUCUCUGUCUCUCUCUCUCUCUCUCUCUCUGUCUCUCUCUCCCCCCCACCACCCCCUUUCUGUCUCCCUCCCUGGCUGCUGAGGUAGUGAAGGCGCGUUGUUUGACCAAGCAGCACAGUGUAAUGACAAUCUACUCGUGUUCAU
rnacentral:lncRNA from 1 species